GACGUAGGGCGCGAGCGUUGUCCGGAUUUAUUGGGCGUAAAGAGCUCGUAGGCGGCUUGUCGCGUCGACUGUGAAAACCCGCGGCUCAACUGCGGGCCUGCAGCUGAUACGGGCAGGCUAGAGUUCGGUAGGGGAGACUGGAAUUCCUGGUGUAGCGGUGAAAUGCGCAGAUAUCAGGAGGAACACCGGUGGCGAAGGCGGAUCUCUGGGCCGAGACUGACGCUGAGGAGCGAAAGCGUGGGGAGCGAACAGG
rnacentral:rRNA from 1 species